UCCUUGGUGUCUCCGCGUACCCUUGGGAGGAACAGCGACGGGAAUGAGGAAAAGAUGGACAGAGACAGAGCCGGGUCAGGUGGAGGCUUCUUUACUGGAUGGAUGCGAUACCAGGCCAUACUAUCAUCCCCUGCCUCCAGAUGCCAAACAAACCUGGCCCUCACCUGACUUUGGACUUCGAUCCCCCAAAUGGAGAAUCAGAAAUAAUGGAACCCAGGAAGAGCAAGAUUUUUUGGAUUAGGCAUUGCAAGUGAAAGCCUCAUUGCCACUAUUUCUGGACACAGACACCAUAACUUCCUCUGCUGAAUCCAGUCUGUGGAUGCCAGGAUUUUGAUCACAGCUGUUUCCAAAUGCUGGGCACAUAUGCCGUUAUGCUGACCAGAAGGAAAGCCUGGAUGUCAAUGAGUGCUAGGAAUGAUGUCAACUUCGCCUUAGCAAGUGGACCUGCUUCUGGGCCUGCCACGUGCUCUAGUCCCUGUAAAGACAGUCUACUGCCAGGUUGAUUUGUAGUAACUUUCAGAAAACUUCCUUUCAUGCGGAAUGAAUAAACACAUUGAAAGAGCUUUA